rnacentral:rRNA from 1 species
GAUGAACGCUGGCGGCGUGCCUAACACAUGCAAGUCGAGCGGUAAGGCCCUUCGGGGUACACGAGCGGCGGACGGCUGAGUAACACGUGGGAACGUGCCCCAAAGUGAGGGAUAAGCACCAGAAAUGGUGUCUAAUACCGCAUAUGGUCUUCGGAAUAAAGUAUUUAUACGCUUUGGGAGCGGCCUGCGUACGAUUAGAUUGUUGGUGAGGUAAAGGCUCACCAAGUCGACGAUCGUUAACUGGUCUGAGAGGAUGAUCAGUCAGACUGGAACUGAGACACGGUCCAGACUCCUACGGGAGGCAGCAGUUGGGAAUUUUGGACAAUGGACGCAAGUCUGAUCCAGCCAUUCCGCGUGCAGGAUGAAGGCCCUCGGGUUGUAAACUGCUUUUGUACGGAACGAAAAGGUCUCUCUUAAUACGGGGGGCUCAUGACGGUACCGUAAGAAUAAGCACCGGCUAACUACGUGCCAGCCGCCGCCGUAA